rnacentral:lncRNA from 1 species
GAAAAUAAAACAAACCUAAAGUUGUUCACUUGCAGAAAAAUCCCUAGUCCUAAACUCAAUUGAAAAGCAAGAAAACAAAGUCCUUGAAAUGGUGUCAAAAUUCCACUGGCAACUGGCCUCGACCUUGUCCUCUCUACCUACACCACAUUAAGCUAUCAAACAAGCAAGGAAGCAAAUGAAUAAUCAUCACGUCGUAGAAGGUUCUACUUAAAAAUACAGAAGAAAGAUGGAUGAACAAAAAUGCAAAAAAGACAGAGAGCCUAAAAAUGGUAGAAUAUAUCAACUGAGAAUAACUAAUAUAUCUGUCCAAAAUGAAAAGAAGAUACUGAUCAGCAAACAUGUGCGCAUAUUCUAGUGGUAAAAGGUACUAAGAGUUAAUAGCUGAACUAAGGACCUAUUUGGUAGUGAUUUUGAGAAUUGAUUUUUUUAUCGUUAGAGAGAAAAGUAGAUCCUACCUGUGAGUAAAAAAAGUAAAAAAUGACGGCUGGUGAAAUAACGGUCAAAAUUUUGAUUUUUUUGGAUGAAAAAUUGCUACCAAACGGAAGUUGAAUGUGCAAAGGAAUCAAACGAAACAAUGUUUGAGACAUAGGAACAAACCAACUCGUAAAAUACGAUUAACAGUUGAAAACAUGAAAAAAGAUUGUGACUUGAUGUAAAAGAAAAAAAAAGAAAAGGGAAAGCUGGGCUUCCACUUUCUUCAAUGAUCAUUAGAUAAACUUAU